UUGGAUGUGAAUUGAUUUAUGUUUGGAUAAACUUUAAUAGAAGUGAUUCUUAUGAGUUGAUGUUGUUUGGAUAG
rnacentral:pre_miRNA from 1 species